GCCGAGGUCAGAUUGGUGGGGGGGUGCCGAGCUAGGGGGGUGGGGACCCGAGCACGAGGAGUAAAGGGUGUAAAUGGGAGGAAGCAGGUGUGGACGGUGGACAAGCCCGACGGGCGGGCAGGAACCCGGCUCUGAGGAAAUGCCUGCCUGCAGCCAGGCGUCCUGAGUGGGGCGGCCCGGUGGAUCCCCAGAGGGACCCCUGAGCUGCUGUAAACAUCAUGUCUUGUUUCAGGUGGAACCGGCCCCAUCGUUCCCCGGGACUCACCCUUAAUUCAUCACAAAAGGAGCGACUUCAGGAUGGGGUAUCAGUGCUCCCCGCAGAGCUCCCGGGGCCUCCUCGCAUCACCCCACAUCUGCCUGGCCCGGAGGGUGGGGCGUCCUGAAGAAGGUUCCAGAAGCAAGGCCAGCUACCCCCCUGCCCCGCGGCUGCACUGUCUGAGCCCGCCUGAACCGCCGAGGUCACUGCUGCAGGAGCCCGUGUCCUGGACUCGACGGGCCACCCUGCCCCUCACCGCCCCCCCCAGGGUUGGCCGGGAACCAGGAGCUGCUUCCCCAGGCACAGGGGGAGCCUCUGCAGGAGGCUGAGCGCCCCUCUGCCCCCAUCCCCCGGGCGCACAAAGCCACGUGGCAUUUUCACAUUAUGCCUUUAUUUCUGCAGCCGGCGGGGGUGGGGGGGCACCCCGGGGACCCAGACCCAGCUCAGAGCAACCAACAGCGGGGCGGCUGCCUCAAACCCGCGAGCAGACGCAGACUCCCACGCGGGAAAGUCAUCUGUUUUACCCAAAUAGACGGACCCACGUCCACCGAACCCGACCUGCGAACCACUGAGAGGACGAGCACCUGGUUCAGGUGUCGGAUCCGGGCAGUGAGAAUCAUACCGAGCAUGCGCGGAAGGUCGCCUGAAUUCCCUGGUCAGUGCCCCGGGUGCCCCGCGUGCCCUGCGUGCCCCGGGGACGAUGUGGAAGCCACGGCAAGCCUCCGACCUCAAAAUAACUGGCGGUAUUCUGGGCAGCGCUUUAUCUUGCGUGAGACCUGGUUCCUACGCUUCGUGGAAAUUAUUAUCCGGGUAGAUGGAUGAUAAGGCGGCGUUUAGAGACGCCCAAAACCACGACACGUGUGGUUUUCAGCAAGGUCCGUAGGCCAGACUUCAAGUAGAACGGGGGUGCCCUACGAUUCUCUCUGGUUUUUCCAGAAUGCUGUGGGAGGAAUUGGCCAGGGCUUUUUCCAACAGAAACUCAGGGUUGGGGUUCCCUGGGCGGCUUAGUGGUUGAGCACCUGCCUUCGGCCCAGGACGUGACCCCGGGGUCCUGGGAUCGAGUCCCUCGUCGGGCUCCCUGCAUGGAGCCUGCUUCUCCCUCCGCCUGUGUCUCUGCCUCUCUCUCUGGGUCUCUCAUGAAUAAAUAAAAUCUUAAAAAAAAAAAAAAAGAUGUA
rnacentral:lncRNA from 12 species